rnacentral:rRNA from 1 species
UACGUAGGGUGCGAGCGUUGUCCGGAAUUACUGGGCGUAAAGAGCUCGUAGGUGGUUUGUCGCGUUGUCCGUGAAAACUCACAACUCAAUUGUGGGCGUGCGGGCGAUACGGGCAGACUGGAGUACUGCAGGGGAGACUGGAAUUCCUGGUGUAGCGGUGGAAUGCGCAGAUAUCAGGAGGAACACCGGUGGCGAAGGCGUCCCUCUGGCCGGAUACUGACGCUGAGACGCGAAAGCGUGGGGAGCAAACAGG